rnacentral:rRNA from 1 species
UGGGGAAUAUUGCACAAUGGGCGCAAGCCUGAUGCAGCCAUGCCGCGUGUAUGAAGAAGGCCUUCGGGUUGUAAAGUACUUUCAGCGGGGAGGAAGGGAGUAAAGUUAAUACCUUUGCUCAUUGACGUUACCCGCAGAAGAAGCACCGGCUAACUCCGUGCCAGCAGCCGCGGUAAUACGGAGGGUGCAAGCGUUAAUCGGAAUUACUGGGCGUAAAGCGCACGCAGGCGGUUUGUUAAGUAAGAUGUGAAAUCCCCGGGCUCAACCUGAGACAUACAUCUGAUACUGGCAAGCUUGAGUCGCGUAGAGGGGGGUAGAAUUCCAGGUGAAGCGGUGAAAUGCGUAGAGAUCUGGAGGAAUACCGGUGGCGAAGGCGGCGCCCUGGACGAAGACUGACGCUCAGGUGCGAAAGCGUGGGGAGCAAGCAGG